GACAGAGGUGCCAAGCGUUAGGCGGAAUCACUGGGCUUAAAGCGUGUGUAGGCGGAUUGCUAAGUACCUUGUGAAAUCCCACGGCUCAACCGUGGAACUGCUGGGUAUACUGGUUGUCUUGAGCCAGCUAGGGGCGAGCGGAACAGACGGUGGAGCGGUGAAAUGCGUAGAUAUCGUCUGGAACGCCGAAGGUGAAAACAGCUCGCUGGGGCUGCGCUGACGCUGAGACACGAAAGCCAGGGGAGCGAACGGG
rnacentral:rRNA from 1 species